UACGAAGGGGGCUAGCGUUGUUCGGAAUCACUGGGCGUAAAGGGCGCGUAGGCGGAUUGGUAAGUCAGUGGUGAAAGGCUUAAGCUUAACUUGGGAACUGCCAUUGAUACUAUCAGUCUUGAAUGUUGUUGAGGUUUGCGGAAUGGGUCAUGUAGCGGUGAAAUGCAUAGAUAUGACCCGGAACACCUAUUGCGAAGGCAGCAGGCUAAACAAAUAUUGACGCUGAGGCUCGAAAGCGUGGGGAUCAAACAGG
rnacentral:rRNA from 1 species